UACGAGUGCCUCGAGCGUUAUCCGGAAUCAUUGGGCGUAAAGAGCGUGUAGGCGGCCAGGUAGGUCGGUUGUGAAAACUGGAGGCUCAACCUUCAGAGGUCGACCGAAACCAUCUGGCUAGAGUCCGGGAGAGGAGAGUGGAAUUCCUGGUGUAGCGGUGAAAUGCGCAGAUAUCAGGAAGAACACCCGUGGCGAAAGCGGCUCUCUGGAACGGUACUGACGCUGAGACGCGAAAGCGUGGGGAGCGAAUAGG
rnacentral:rRNA from 1 species